rnacentral:rRNA from 1 species
AGUGAACGCUGGCGGUAGGCCUAACACAUGCAAGUCGAACGGCAGCACAGUAAGAGCUUGCUCUUACGGGUGGCGAGUGGCAGACGGGUGAGGAAUACAUCGGAAUCUACUUUUUCGUGGGGGAUAACGUAGGGAAACUUACGCUAAUACCGCAUACGACCUACGGGUGAAAGCAGGGGAUCUUCGGACCUUGCGCGAUUGAAUGAGCCGAUGUCGGAUUAGCUAGUUGGCGGGGUAAAGGCCCACCAAGGCGACGAUCCGUAGCUGGUCUGAGAGGAGGAUCAACCACGCUGGAACUGAGACACGGUCCAGACUCCUACGGGAGGCAGCAGUGGGGAAUAUUGGACAAUGGGCGCAAGCCUGAUCCAGCCAUACCGCGUGGGUGAAGAAGGCCUUCGGGUUGUAAAGCCCUUUUGUUGGGAAAGAAAAGCAGCAGGUUAAUACCCCGCUGUUCUGACGGUACCCAAAGAAUAAGCACCGGCUAACUUCGUG